rnacentral:misc_RNA from 1 species
AACGCACAUUGCGCCCAUUAGUAUUCUAGUGGGCAUGCCUGUUCGAGCGUCAUUACAACCCUCAAGCGCUGUAGUGCUUGGUGUUGGGGCAUCUGCUGCCCGCAGCAGGCCCUGAAAGAUAGUGGCGAGGUCGCUGUGACCCUGAGCGUAGUAAUUUACACCUCGCUUCUGUGGCUCGCGGCGGGUUCUCAGCCGUGAAACCCCCCAAUUUUCACAAGGUUGACCUCGGAUCAGGUAGGAAUACCCGCUGAACUUAA